AUGGGGAAGGGAGGGAAAGGCGAGGCGGCGGCGGCCGUGGCCGGCGAGGGGGAGAACAUGGCGGCGUGGCUCGUGGCCAAGAACACCCUCAAGAUCAUGCCCUUCAAGCUUCCGCCGCUGGGUCCUUAUGAUGUGCGAGUCCGGAUGAAGGCGGUGGGCAUCUGCGGCAGCGACGUGCAUUACCUCAAGGAGAUGCGCAUUGCGCAUUUCGUGGUGAAAGAGCCGAUGGUGAUCGGGCACGAGUGCGCUGGCAUCAUCGAGGAGGUGGGCGACGGCGUGAAGCACCUCGCCGUGGGAGACCGCGUGGCGCUGGAGCCCGGCAUCAGCUGCUGGCGCUGCAGGCACUGCAAGGGCGGCCGCUACAACCUCUGCGACGACAUGAAGUUCUUCGCCACCCCACCUUACCAUGGAUCACUUGCCGACCAGAUUGUGCAUCCAGGUGACCUGUGCUUCAAGCUUCCAGACAACGUGAGCCUGGAGGAGGGCGCCAUGUGCGAGCCCCUGAGCGUGGGGGUGCACGCCUGCCGCCGAGCCGACGUGGGCGCGGAGAAGAGCGUGCUCAUCAUGGGCGCCGGCCCGAUCGGCCUGGUCACCAUGCUCUCGGCGCGCGCCUUCGGGGCGCCCAGGAUCGUCAUCGCCGACGUCGACGACCACCGCCUCUCCGUGGCCAAGUCCCUCGGCGCGGACGCCGUCGUGAAGGUCUCCGGCAACACGGAGGACCUCGCGGGGGAGAUCGAGCGCAUCCAGGCGGCGAUGGGAGGCGACAUCGACGUGAGCCUGGACUGCGCCGGGUUCAGCAAGACGAUGUCGACGGCGCUGGAGGCGACGCGGCCGGGCGGGAGGGUGUGCCUGGUGGGGAUGGGGCACAACGAGAUGACGGUGCCGCUGACGUCGGCGGCGAUCCGGGAGGUGGACGUGGUGGGGAUCUUCCGUUACAAGGACACGUGGCCGCUGUGCCUCGAGUUCCUGCGGAGCGGCAAGAUCGACGUGAAGCCGCUCAUCACGCACAGGUUCGGCUUCUCGCAGGGGGAGGUGGAGGAGGCCUUCGAGGUCAGCGCGCGCGGCCGCGACGCCAUCAAGGUCAUGUUCAACCUCUAG
rnacentral:rRNA from 1 species